rnacentral:rRNA from 1 species
AUUGAACGCUGGCGGCAGGCCUAACACAUGCAAGUCGAACGGUAACAGGAAACAGCUUGCUGUUUCGCUGACGAGUGGCGGACGGGUGAGUAAUGUCUGGGAAACUGCCUGAUGGAGGGGGAUAACUACUGGAAACGGUAGCUAAUACCGCAUAACGUCGCAAGACCAAAGAGGGGGACCCUCGGGCCUCUUGCCAUCGGAUGUGCCCAGAUGGGAUUAGCUUGUUGGUGGGGUAACGGCUCACCAAGGCGACGAUCCCUAGCUGGUCUGAGAGGAUGACCAGCCACACUGGAACUGAGACACGGCCCAGACUCCUACGGGAGGCAGCAGUGGGGAAUAUUGCACAAUGGGCGCAAGCCUGAUGCAGCCAUGCCGCGUGUAUGAAGAAGGCCUUCGGGUUGUAAAGUACUUUCAGCGGGGAGGAAGGGAGUAAAGUUAAUACCUUUGCUCAUUGACGUUACCCGCAGAAGAAGCACCGGCUAACUCCGUG